rnacentral:lncRNA from 1 species
AUUGCAUGAGCUGGCAAUUCUAAUUGGAAUCUUCAGACGAAAUCCUUCAAAUAGGUGGGCUUUUUGAUCCUUCUCUUGAAUGUUGUUUCCUUUUGCACCUCUUUGUUUGUGAGUAUACCCUCUGUGGUUGCUGUUAUGUCCAUACUGUCCCCACCUGAAGCUUCUUUGUUCAUAACACUCUUCGGCCCUUGUAGACGCACCUUGUCCUCAAGGUGGAAGUCUUGCUGUAACUGUUCCCAAUCCUCCCAUGAAGUCUCAUCAGGAGAGAGACCCUCCCAUUGAAUCAGCACCUCCCAAGUUCCUGUUGCCGGAUUUUUCCUGGAAUCCAAAAUAGCUAAAGGGUGUACAACUGGUUGGUCAUGGAUAAAAGUGGGGGGCAAAUUCAAUUCUGAAUGUUGCUCUGGGUUCCCUCGAAAUGGCUUAAGCUUAGAGCAAUGAAAUACAGGGUGAAUCCUGGCUGAUUCUGGUAACUUCAAUUUAUAAGCUACUGUGCCAAUGCGGUCUUCCACCUGGAAGGGUCCAUAGAAACGCUUCGCGAGCUUUCCGGCAGUUGGUUGUGGUCCUUUCACGGAGGUUUGUCAGAGAGGGCGAAGACGAAGAAGGACCCAGUCACCCUUUUGAUAUUGGACAUCACGUCUCUUGCUAUCUGCUUGCCUCUUCAUAAUCUCUUGAGCUUUAAGUAGCUUCUUACGAAUUGUUUGGAAAGUCGCAUCUCGAUCAGUGAGUAAGUGUUCCACUGCUUCUAUGUUUGAAGUUCCCGUGAUGUACUCAGGGAAAUUGAAGGGCUUCUUCCCAAAUGUGACCUCAUAAGGAGUCGUCCCAGUACCGGCAUUCCACGAUGUGUUAUGGGACCACUCAAUCCAUGGCAAAAGCUUCCCCCACCGGUUUGGCCUCUUGUGAACGAAAGCUCUGAGAUACUGCUCUACUAUCCUGUUCAGCACCUCUGUUUGUCCAUCGCUCUGCGGAUGGUACGCAGAGCUCAUGCGUAAAUGAGUGCCGCUAGCCUUGAACAGCUCUUGCCAAAACUUGCUGAUAAAGAGGGGGUCCCUAUCGGAAACCAAGCUUCGAGGAAUCCCAUGUAUUUUAACCACCAUGUCGACGAACAAGGAUGCCACCAUAUGAGCAGUGUGAGACGUUGGUAACAUUCCCAGAUGAAUCCCCUUCGAAAAACGGUCCACCACCACGAGAAUUGUGGUUUUUCGUGAUACGCCGGCAGGCCGACAAUGAAAUCUAACGAGAGGUCCUCCCAAGGUCGAUGGGGCACCGGUAAGGGGCAUAAUAGUCCUGCGACGCGUUGUGUCUGGUACUUAGUGACCUGACAAUCCAUGCAAUUUGCCACAAAUUGCUUGACAUCUUCUCUGAGACCGGUCCAAGUGAAGUUCUCUGAAAUUCGAGCUAAUGUCUUUGUGAUUCCGGCGUGACCCCCUGUUGGAGUCGUGUGGUAUUCCUGAAGUAAUGUGGCCGUGAGGGGAAGGUCUCUAGGAAGCCAGAUUCGUCCCCCUGUUAAAAUUAAUUCCUGGGAAAUCGAGAAUGAGGGAUGUUUAUCAGGCUCGUUCCGAAUUUCCUGUUUCCGGUGACAGAAUUCAGGGUGAGCUUCCAAUUGUCGGUGCAAUUCUUCCAGGAAGGUCAGAGAAGGAACGGAGAGGACCAAACAAUGAGAAAGUUCUGACUCAGGUUGUCGGGAUAAUGCAUCUGCGACUUGAUUCUAAUGCCCGGAACGGAACUGAAUUACAUAGUCAUAUCCCAAAAGCCGAGCCAAGUAUUUAUGCUGCUCAGGAGUUUGAAUUACUUGGGUAAGUAAUUCCUUGAGGCUACGAUGGUCCGUUAUAAUGAUGAAGCGUUGACCCAACAGGUAUUGUCGCCAUCGUUUGACCGCGGUGGUGAUGGCAACUAACUCACGGACAUAAGUGGAGGCCACGGCGAGCUUGGGGGUGAAAGGUUUACUGAAAAACGCUACAGGGUGUCCCUUCUGGGUGAGCACGGCACCCAUGCCAAUACCAGAGGCAUCAGUCUCGACGGUGAAUGGUAUGGUGAAGUCCGAAAGAGCUAAGACGGGAGCAGUAGAGAGAGCUGUCUUCAACUGAUCAAAAGCUUCUUGUGUUUGAGGAGACCAGUCAAAAGAAUCCUUAGCCGUGAGUCGAACUAAUGGAGCAGCAAUGGUGGCAUAAUUACGAAUAAAUCUCCUGUAAAACCCCGCAAGUCCCAAAAAGCUCUUAACUGCUUUUGCCGAUUUGGGUGUCGGCCAUUGCUGAAUAGCUUCGAUCUUCGAGACUACUGGUUCAACCCCCUUGUGAGAUACGACACGACCAAGGUACUCAACCUGUUUCUGCGCAAAGGAACAUUUUGAAAGUUUCAGUACAAAAUUAUUAUCAAGAAGGACCUGGAAUGUGAUAGUCAAGUGGUGAAGAUGAGCUUCGAAGGAGGUGCUAUACACCAAAAUAUCAUCGAAGAAAACGAUGAUAAAGUGGCGAAGAUGCUGCCGGAAUAUGCUAUUCAUGGUGGCCUGAAAGGAGCUUGGUGCAUUGCAGAGCCCAAAUGGCAUUACUUUAAAUUCGUAAUGUCCAUGGUGGGUUCUGAAAGCAGUCUUAGGUAUGUCAGAGGCAUGCAUGCGGAUUUGGUGAUAUCCUUGGAGUAAAUCAAGCUUGGAAAAAUACUGAGCUCCUCCCAAUUCAUCCAGCAAUUCGUCAAUUGUAGGAAUUGGGAAUCGGUCACGGAUUGUCACGGCGUUAAGAGCCCUGUAAUCAACGCAAAAUCGCCACGAACCAUCUUGCUUACGAACGAGGAGAACUGGUGAUGAGAAGGGGCUUGUGCUUGGCCUGAUAAGUCCCUUUUGUAGCAUAUCAUUGACCUGCUGCUCUAUCUCCUUCUUCUGGUAAUGGGGAUAUCUGUAGGGGCGCACAUUUACAGGACUGGUGUGGGGAAGAAGAUGGAUAUGGUGGUCGGUGACACGGUUAGGGGGUAGUCCUGAUGGGCUCUGGAAAAGGUUGGAGAAGUGUGUGAGUAAGGCUUGGAUUUCUGGGGGUAAGGUUUGAGAAUGUGGGGGUUCAGGGUCGUCCGUGAUGAUUGCUAUGUGAAAAUAUGAAGCUUGAGUCUGUGUCCGGCAGAGUCGCCGGAGUUGAUGGUGAGUGAGGAAGCUAGAGUCAAUCGCGGUGUCCCCUUUUAAUUCUAUCAACUGGUUUUGAUAAAAGAAUUGCAUCUUCAAAGACCCAUAAUCCGUGAGAAUUGGGCCCAGGGUCUUAAGCCACUGGACUCCUAAGACCACGUUAGCGCCUACAAUGGGCAAGACGUGUAGGUCCAAGGUGAACUUAACGUCUUGAAUGAUAAUGGAAACUCCUUCACAAAUCGCAGAACAAUCCAAGUGUUGGCCAUUGCCAACCAUCACGCGCAAUGGUGAGAUGCUUCGGCAGGGGAGGCCCAAUUGGGUCACCAGGGUGGGCUGCACGAAGUUGUGGGUGCUGCCGCCGUCAACGAGCAGCACCACACGAUGGUCGGCCAAAAUUCCUGCCAUACGCAAGGCCUCAGGUGCCAGGUGGCCCGAAAAUGAAUUGAGGCUGAUUUGGGCUUGAAACGGGUCGGGUUCGUCGGGCGGGUCGGGUGGUGGGUCAGGUGGGUCUAUUUUAGAGUCUGAGGGUUCCUCUUCUUCAGUUACCAAAAGAAAAGCCCUAGCGGCGCAACGAUGGCCGCGAUGGUAACGCUCAUCACAGGUGAAGCACAACCCACGCUCGCGGCGUGAGGUGAGUUCUUCCGGCAUGAGACGUUUCAUCAACGACGGUGUAGGGCGCGGAGGAGCUGGCAGCAAGGGUGGUAGGGUUGGUCGCGGCUCUGCUGAAGUAGGAAGAACUCGAAUGGGGUUAGGUUGCGGAGGUGGUGCGCGAGAACGUGGAGGGUUGCGGUUGUCGGAAAAUUUCUCUUCCUGAAGCUUGGCAUGUCCCGCGGCUUGAACAAGGGUGAGCGGUUGAUGAGCUUGAACUUCUCUGCGAAUCUCCGGUGUGAGACCGGAGAUGAAACAGCUCAGAAGGAAUGGGGAUGGCAAUCCGAUAACCCUAUUCGCGAGGUCUUCAAAUUCCGAAAGGUACUGACUCACGGUCCCUUUCUGUGUCAAUUUAAAUAAAAUGCCGGUUGGGUCUUCGUAUUGUGACGGAGCAAAUCUCGUCUGCAGGGCUUGUAGGAAUCCAGGCCACGAGGUGAACUGGGCAUUGCUUGACAUCCAUUGGAACCAAGCAAGUGCCCUUCCCUCCAUAUAAAACGAAGCUAUGGUAAGACGCUCUCGCUUAGGAGUUCCAUGAUAUUCGAAAUACUGAUUGAUUUUGAAUAUCCAUCCUAAAGGUUCCGUUCCAUCAAAACGGGGAACCUCUAACUUCAUUUUAUGUUGUGUCGUAGGAACAGGGGAAAUGGGAGGGGGUUCUGGCUGUGGGGGAAAAACGGAGGCGGGACGAUGAAGAAGUUCAUCGAGCUUGAGGUUCAUAGAUUGCAUAGUGUCAGUGAGUCGGGUGAGAAUGGUUUCCAGAUUUGGUGAAGUUGGGUCGUGGGGUCCUGUCAUGGUAGUAAUGGAAACGAGAGCACCAAUGUUAUGAAUUAGGCUGAUUUAGAGGUUCAGCUCCUCCAGAGAAGGAAGAAAGGAAAAGUUCAAGAUAAGGAAUUCCAACUAUUUUUCUUAUUUAUCCUUCUGUUAUUUACAUUGUAUUUAUAGAUCCUAGGAAGGAAUAAUUUGCUUCUAGAAUUGGUAUAAUCCUAGGAAUAUUACAUAACUAAUUCUGUUAUGGCUGCUUUCCUCAGAUAUGCAGCAUCCGCAGGAGGAUAUUGGAAGAUUGCAUGAGCUGGCAAUUCUAAUUGGAAUCUUCAGACGAAAUCCUUCAAAUAGGUGGGCUUUUUGAUCCUUCUCUUGAAUGUUGUUUCCUUUUGCACCUCUUUGUUUGUGAGUAUACCCUCUGUGGUUGCUGUUAUGUCCAUACUGUCCCCACCUGAAGCUUCUCUGUUCAUAACAACGAAAUUGUUUUUGAUUGAUGGACAUGGGGUGAAGGGUUCUGUUGAGAAGGAUGUCUAUGACUUUGGAAUAAUCCUUUUUGAACUUAUAACAGGGAAAAGAUUAAGUUCAACGACUGAUUCUUCUGACAGUGUUAAUGGUCAGUUGAUGAACUAUAUCAGCAAUAACUUGUUCACUGAUCCUGCAGAUUUUUAUGAUACCAUUGACGAAUCUAUCAUAGGGAAGGGUUUUGACGAUAAAAUCCUUGGUCUCCUCAAAGUUGCAUGUGACUGUGUUAAAGGAUCUUUAAAGCAAAGGCCAAAGAUGGUUGAUAUGCACAAAACUAUAAGAGCCAUGUGGGAAGGCUAUAAACCUUGGUUUGAUUCUGAAAGGCUGAAACUCUCUCUGGGUUGUUCUGACCAUAUAACAUGCAUCAGCGAAAUAGAAUGUAUUUGUUGAAACGUAAGACCUGUUUUGUAUGUGUGUAGUGUAGGUUCCGCACUUCCGCUUAUCAGACACUUUAGGACAAUGAAUGUCUGUUUAUUUAUAUACAACACUGUCAAGUUAAAGCUUUGUAAUUUUAUGAUUCAAAUUGAGCAAAAUAAGGAAUCAUUUAACGAGGACGAGGACUUCUAAUAAUAAUAUAUUAG